UACAGGGGGUGCAAACGUUGCUCGGAAUCAUUGGGCGUAAAGCGCACGCAGGCGGACUCUUAAGUCGGUGGUGAAAUCCUGAAGCUCAACUCCAGAACUGCCUCCGAUACUGGGAGCCUUCGAGUCCGGGAGAGGUGAGUGGAACUGCGAGUGUAGAGGUGAAAUUCGUAGAUAUUCGCAAGAACACCAGUGGCGAAGGCGGCUCACUGGCCCGGUACUGACGCUGAGGUGCGAAAGCGUGGGGAGCAAACAGG
rnacentral:rRNA from 1 species